ACUUACCACCCUGCCAGAAUCAAUAUACACCAUCUCAUUGGAUCUCAGAAACUAAGCAGAUUUAGACCUGGCUAGCAUUUGGCUGGGGGAUCACUUGAGAAUCCUGGGUGAUGUAAGCA
rnacentral:rRNA from 1 species